rnacentral:rRNA from 1 species
AACGAACGCUGGCGGCAUGCCUAACACAUGCAAGUCGAACGAGACCUUCGGGUCUAGUGGCGCACGGGUGCGUAACGCGUUGGAACCUGCCCUUAGGUUCGGAAUAACUCCCCGAAAGGGGUGCUAAUACCGGAUAAUGUCUUCGGUCCAAAGAUUUAUCGCCUUUGGAUGGGCCCGCGUUGGAUUAGCUAGUUGGUAGGGUAAAAGCCUACCAAGGCGACGAUCCAUAGCUGGUCUGAGAGGAUGAUCAGCCACACUGGGACUGAGACACGGCCCAGACUCCUACGGGAGGCAGCAGUGGGGAAUAUGGGACAAUGGGCGAAAGCAUGAUCCAGCAAGGCCGUGUGAGUGAUGAAGGCCUGAGGGUUGUAAAGCUCUUUUACCCGGGAUGAUAAGGACAGUACCGGGAGAAUAAGCUCCGGCUAACUCCGU